CCUUGCUGUGCCUUUUGUGCUGUUUCAUCCCCAGGUUCUAAAGAAAAUUGCUAAGUUCAUUCAGGAACAGAAUGAGAAGAUCUACGCUCCUCAGGGCCUUCUGCUGACAGACCCCAUUGAAAGAGGAUUAAGAGUUAUUGAAAUUACCAUUUAUGAAGACAGAGGUUUGACCAGUGGAAGAUAAAACUGUGGAGUCUCAGAUGCCAGCUCACCGGUGGACUCGCUGUACCAAGGUUCCCCUACCUCCUACUUUAGAGCAUCAUUCCUUUCUCUGCUGCCAGAUCCACAGUGCCAUCUACUACAAGGACUAACUUCCUCCAACUGCUCCCCAGGGGUGACCUAGCUGGUCAGCAUCCACUUUGCAGUAGAUUUGGAAGCAAGAGGAUCACUUUUUAGUUUUUGUUUGGUUUGGGGUUUUCUUUUUUUUUUUUUCCUCAAGAAAAGGCAGAAGUGGUAAAGCUGUGUUGUCUCCUGAAAGAAAUGGGGCUCUGAGCCCAACAGAGGUUUAGUUUUAGUCCUGUAAGUGCAGUGCUGUUUGUCCCUGGUUCUUAAACCCUUCUGUGUGUCAGUUGGGCUUUGGAAAGCUCCAGCUCCAAGUUGGGAAUUUCUCUCCAGUUCAGUGUAAGAGUGCAGAGAUACACAGAGCCUCUUCCCAGUGAGGAGUGACCCAAGGCAGCAGCUCCUGUGCUGGUCCUUGUGGAAAACCAAAAGGCAAAAGUGUUCCUUGAGUUAAAGUCUUGGUUAUCCUGGGGAGAGGGGGCUGUAGCCAGACUUUAACCCUGCUGGUUUGUCUGCCCCUGUGUCUGUGCUGUUGUUGGCCAGGUCAGCCAUGGAACAGUGAGCACAGUAAAGUGGAUGCUGAGCCAAUAAAAAUAACAAUUCCCACCCUUCUCUGAUUAAUAUGUGAAGUGUAAAACUGUUUCUUUAUGGAUUUCUUAUAUAUAAUUUAUAGGAAAACAUUGAUUUGACAAGCUGUAAGAUACUGUGUAGGAUGGAUUUCUGAAUUCUGUUUCUGGCGCACAUUGAGGAGUGGAGCUGUGCAUUCCUCAGCAUCCCCGUGCAUUGCUCAGCAGAACCUGCACGAGUGCAGCUCCCCACAAUCCAAGCUGCCUGAAUCCCUCCCCUUCCAUCCUUUUCCUGUGUCACAGCCCAGGUGUCCUGGUGUAGGGGCCCAGUGUCAGUGUCCAGUUGUGCAAGGACCUCAGGAGUUCAGGCUGGAGGGGCUGGGUUGGUUGCUGGUGGUGCUGCAGGUGCUAAUACUGGAUGUGGAACUCCAGGCUCAUUCCUCAGCCACUGGGGGAGGGGGUUGAGAUUUGAUUAAUAUUUUCAUUGUAUAAAUUUGUUUUUUUUCUAAACUGUAACAGUGUUUGCCUUUCACAGCUGUUGCAAUAUUGGCAGAAGUACUGAUGGAUCAGUAAACCUUUUCUUAAACUGUG